CCUACGGGAGGCAGCAGUGGGGAAUAUUGCACAAUGGGCGCAAGCCUGAUGCAGCGACGCCGCGUGAGGGAUGGAGGCCUUCGGGUUGUGAACCUCUUUCGCUCAUGGUCAAGCCGCAACAAUGGUUGUGGUGAGGGUAGUGGGUAAAGAAGCGCCGGCUAACUACGUGCCAGCAGCCGCGGUAAUACGUAGGUCCCGAGCGUUGUCCGGAUUUAUUGGGCGUAAAGCGAGCGCAGGCGGUUAGAUAAGUCUGAAGUUAAAGGCUGUGGCUUAACCAUAGUACGCUUUGGAAACUGUUUAACUUGAGUGCAAGAGGGGAGAGUGGAAUUCCAUGUGUAGCGGUGAAAUGCGCAGAUAUAUGGAGGAACACCGGUGGCGAAAGCGGCUCUCUGGCUUGUAACUGACGCUGAGGCUCGAAAGCGUGGGGAGCAAACAGGAUUAGAUACCCUGGUAGUCCGCACAGUAAACGCUGGAUGCCCGCUGUUGGCUCAUUAGAGUCAGCGGCCAAGCGAAAGCAUUAAGCAUCCCACCUGGGGAGUACGCCGGCAACGGUGAAACUCAAAGGAAUUGACGG
rnacentral:rRNA from 1 species